CUUUCCCCUACACUUAUAAACCCAGAAGGAUCUGUAACUGCUGUUCAUCUUCUGUUAGCAUACGUGAAAUUCACAUCAGAACAGAACAAUUGUUUUAGAUUAAUUAACAGAUAAGCCAAAAGUAGGCUUCGGUAGAGAAUUCAUAUUUUUUUUCCAGAUUAAUUGAAAGAGUUUAACUUGUUUACUUGCCUAAAAAAUCAAAUGUGUGCGAGAGCUGCCUGGUUAAUAAUGGACAUUUCUGAGGAGUGGUAGUGAAAAGUGAUCCUCGUUUGGCUGAAGGAAAAAAGGCACCUGCGCAUCAAAUGAGUGUGUAAACCAAAUGCUGACCUAAAAGUCCUAAGUGUCCUAAAAGUGAACCAAUAGCAAUGUGUGGAGGAAUAGUAAUAAUAAAAAGAGAAGUCUUUAUUUUAAAUACCACAUUAUCAUUUAGCUGACAUACAAGAAAAUAAAUGAGUGUUGAGAUGAUAAGAACAAACAGCUACAAAGAAGCACUUCGGAGUGGUAUUCACAGUGUUGUAUAUUGUUUCAAAUGUACAAUACCAAAUUAUUUUGGAACAGAAAAGAUGAAAUUUUUUUAUAGGUCAAAAUAUUCUCCAUUUUAAUCUUUCAUUUCAAGGAUGGUGUUGCUGGUGGGCUUCCAGUUUUUCUUUCUCUCUUCCUUUCUCUUUCUUCCUUUCCUUCCUUCUCUUUUUCCUUCUUUCCUUCUCUCUUUUCUUUCUCUCUUUCUCUCCUUCUCUCUUUCUUUCUCUCUUUCUCUUCUUCUCUCUUUUUUCUCUUUUUUCUCUUUCUCUCUCUCUUUUUCUUUCUUUCUUUCUUUCUUUCUUUCUUUCUUUCUUUCUUUCUUUCUUUCUUUCUUUCUUUCUUUCUUUCUUUCUUUCUUUUCUCUCUUUCUCUCUCUCUUUUUCUUUCCUUCUUUCCUCCUCCCUCUCUUUUUCUUUCUAUCUUUCUUUUCUUACUUUAAAUCCAAAGCAGUGGAGCUGAGCAUGAGAAGCAGUAAUUUCUUUGAAUCUUAAUGCAGUCUGUCUUCUUAAUGAGCCUCCUGCACUGCCCUGAAAACAGCCCUUUACAAAUAAACAUGCUGGAAGUGAUUUAGCCACAAUGUCCAGACUGUGUAAACAUCUAAUUAUUACAAUAAAAUUGUCAAUAAAUAUACAUUACUGCUCCCUUUUCAAACGUUAACCAACUUUCGUCUUUGCUUGAUAAAAAGGUAUAAAUUGUAUGUUUGUGCCGUGCUGGGUUCUGUUUCCAUUACGCGCUCUCUGCUCUCCAGACAAAAGGACACAGCCUAAUGCUGGGGUUAUUCCUGGAUGGCGAUAAGUCCUACAGUAGUUUUAUAACGUAAAGUGCAGUGUUUCCUUUCACAGUAAAAUGGACUCGGAGCUGAUGUUUAGUCACGGCAUCUUUUAUUUUUCCCCCCAAAUAAAAGGGCUAUAAAACCUGUUAUUUUACCUGCUGUAACUGCAGGGUAGGCACGCGAUUAAAACCCGCUUGUUAGAGGGAGGAACGGACAUAAUGCUGCAUUAGGGCUGCGAGAGCAAAUAGGAAAAUGGAGUAAUUUUCUCAAAAAUAUGAAGUUCUGCUUUCAGGAUUAUGGCAUCGUGUCGACCAUAAUUGCGGCAUGCCCCCCUUUCCCAUACGUCCCCCCUUCUUGCAUAUCUUAUGUAAGUGGAACAUUAACAUCAGAAAAGCCGAGCGAUAUUGAAUCCUAAUGAGGUCUGGCCUAUAUGCUGGGGCAGGAGAAGAAUGAGGAUCAUUCAUUUGUAUGCCACGAAGCAUUCAGGACUCCGCGAGCAUCCCCGUGGCUCCAGCGCGCGGUGCUGAUCAUCUGUUCUUGCUUUGGGGGGUUCCACGGCUCCGAGCAGCAUCUGAGCUGGGCAAAAAACAGUUAACUGCUUUGCUGCGAGCUUUUGUUAUAUAAUGACAAUUUAAUACGGUGGCUAUUUUUUUGUUAACCUGCUUUAAAAAGGUCUUUCACAUGGUUAAAUUAAUCUUCUGAUUAGCUGUGCCUGCCAGGUAAAAUAUGAGAAGGACAGUGGCACGGGACGUGUAAAUGCACGAUCCAGUCCUGGUAAACACGUCUGUUUUCAGUAAUCACUGUCACGACAGCGGCCAUUCGCUCCGAAAAGAUAUUUUUAAAGUACUUCUUGUUCUAUUUCACUGCUCGUGUUCACACCUCUUUUCAUCUUUUUUCUUUUAACCCAGAAGAUGCCCAGCGCAGUGAUGCGGUAUUUCAAAAGAGCAGGGUGAAAUGCUUCCCGAAACCGAGGUAUAAAAGAUCCGUGCAAAUUGCCACGCAAAAUGAUCUGCACAAAAAGGCAUCGGGGAAGGGAGCGAGGGCUGUGCCAAACAGAUGGCACACCCUGCUGUGUUUUUGAUUGAAAAAGAAAGGUAACAUUUGCAGCCACGUCAAAGAGACAGUGAUCAGCUAAACAAAUUGGUCUCCGAAGUGCAGCCGUGCUGGAGCAGACCCUGCUGCAGGGUACGGCGCGGCUGUAUUUCACCAUCGUGCUACGUGCUCCGAGUGGAGGGAGAUGGCCCCUUCCUCCCUGCAAGGCGAGCAGAAGCCUUUGUUGGAAGAGGCUGCAGCGUGCUCUGCAGAGAAAUCCGCAGACAAUAAGAGCCAGAUGCAGCAAUCAGUGUUUCUUGCAAGAGGGGAAUGAUGCUGUAAUGAGAAGCCUUUCUGCUCCUCGAAUAGUGACAGGAUAUGAAUUUUGAUGGGAGACGGCGAGCUUGGAGACGCUGGAGCCUCGCCUUGUGCCUGAAGUGCCUUCCGUCGUUAAUGAUGCGCCGGUCCUCCUGCGGGGAGCAGUGGGCUGUGUCUCGUGAAGGUUGUGGACGAUUCUCCUCGCAGGGGAAGAAAAACACUUAGCUCGUGCUUUAAGGCAAAUAAUAUCGCUGAUACAACAAGUCACAAAGCAGUGGGGUGGCAGAGAGAUAAUGUCUCUGGAAAUAUUAAUAGAUUUAGAAUGUUCUUUUCCAUCGGUUGAUGAGAUUUAUAGUUACCAGGUAUUUUGUUUUUUUAUUAUUAUUAUUCAUACCAUUUGGAUCUGAGUUAAAGCCUGUAGCUAUUUUUGUUUUUUACUUAAACCUCCAGCUGUUCGGAAUCUUGCUGUUGCUUCCCAGUGAAUACGUCUGGAAGCAAACUGUACUUGAGCUGAGUAUUAUUCACCAUUCAGCAGAAUGUUGUUGGGAGAGCACCAGCGUCCCACCUGAACACACAUGCUCCGCUUGGGUUUCGAUUUGGGGGCUUAUGAGUGUAUAACGACCAUUGUUUGGCUUGAUGAAUGGCGGACUUUGCAUUUCAGUUGCGUGAAUCCCAGUUACUUCGGUCCUAUUCCAGAAGUUUGAAAUGUCUUUUUCUGCUUUUUUUUUCUCCCUUUCCCCAAGUGCUCCCUUUCCGAGGUCUGUCACUUUAUUACUUUAAUGCUUCAGAACAAGUUUGUUUAAAUAUUUACUUAUACUCAGGAUGUCACCAGCUGACAGUUUGUGACAGAGAUUCAUGGCACUGUCCUGCAACGAGGUUAAUUAUCCCGCGCUCACGGUGAAGGAUGCCGUUGUGUUGCCGUUGUUUCGUUUUCUGGAAUGACAGUGUUUGUGAGCUUCUGGUUUAAAGGAUGCAUCUGCUGUCUAAGUGCCCAUCUGCGUAAUGAAAUUAGGCUGGGACUUCUGCAGCGUUCCUCGCUGGUUCUGCUGCCCACCUGCCUGCCUCGUCUAACGAAUGGGAGAAAACCUGCCAGCUUAAAAUGGGACCAGGGGAAUGGGGGACAGGGAAAAGUGACAAUGGAGGUGCUUGUGGUGAGAGCGCAGCUCCUCGCCUUGCAAUUGCGAGCUCAGUCUCUCAGCCUGGUGAGGAGAAAGGGACCCAAAUAAAGCCUGGUCACAUCUGCAGGGAAAAAUGCAUAGGGAUGCAGAAAAGCCCUGUUUGUAAUUUGUGUUUUUGUCCUGGUGGGAACCCAUUUAAUUAGUGCAAGAAGGUAUUGAAUUUUAGCUUAUCAUGCAUAUUGUUUUCCAGCUGUACAGAAGGUUGCCAAGUUUCUAAUGGCCUGACCCUACUCUGUAAAUCAGCAGUAAAUUGCGGCAUUUACACUGAGCAAAGGCAAAGGGCUCAUUCUGUUGGGUUUGCGCUGUCACAGGAACCUGGGCUAAGGGAUUAAUGGUCUGAUGUUAAACAUCUGUCCCCUGUCUUUGGGGGGACGUAAACACACAAAGAGGGAAUCUAAUGCCAUCUACUAAAAGAUCUUCAAUGAGAGGGAGCCCUUGCUAACAUUUCCAUCCAGUGGCACCUCAGACACAUUGCCUCUUUAUGCUAAAGCCCCACAGCACUAAGGGCCCUAUAAAUAGUCUCCAUGUGACAGCUCCGAGAAGAAGAGAGGUUUCCUCUAGACAUUAGUUGUGCUAAAAGAUUCAUCAUUACCUGCAGUCAUGAAAUAAAUCUUUGAUACUUACAACUAUAAUAUCCAUGCUCUACGUUUUAUUGCAGAUAUAGGUAGACAGUCAUUAUUUCUGACACUUUCUCGGCAUUACAAGGAGUACUCUAGGGGAACAACUAGUGUACAGUCUUACAGAAAUAGAUUGAUAUAACCACAUGGAAACCAGUUACUUGCAGUCAAUAUAAUAUUCCCUUAAUGAUGUUAAACAGUCGUGUAGAUUCCAAGUUUAAUGUAAAAAUUCUGUCUUCGAACAACUGUAGUUAUCUACUGAUUAAGUUGCCAGAGGGGAAAUUUAUUUUUUCAUCAUAUGUAAGUCCUUGAGAAAUAUAUUAUUUGGAGCAGAAUUAAAUAGUUUUUUU
ensembl:lncRNA